rnacentral:misc_RNA from 1 species
AAAAUCAUAGAUCCCCCUUACAACGAAUUAUUACACUGUAUCAAGACUUUGUAAGGGGGAUCUAUGAUUUUGUGAACAUGCUGAGGGAACUGAAAAACAGGUGCGGGAAGGUUUUGGAAGAUUUCCGUCACCUAGAUGGUAAGCUUGGAAAAGACGAUGGGGAAAGGCGUGGAAGUAGAGGCCGUUGCAGAUGAAAUCUUUGUGAAUGAUCUAACCGCUAAGGAAGGUGCAAGCACUUUGAAGGAGUUGAUUCCAUACAAUGGGAUAUUGAACUUGUAAGGGCUUUCAGAGGCCUUUGAUAGCAGUUCAGGUGAAUUUAUUGAAACAGAUAUAAUUUUGAGUUUCUCCCACUGAUAAUAAGAUUUCCCAUGGACCAUUUCCAUGUGUUAUCAAAUUGUCAAGC